rnacentral:rRNA from 1 species
GACGAACGCUGGCGGCGUGCUUAACACAUGCAAGUCGAACGGAAAGGCCCUGCUUUUGUGGGGUGCUCGAGUGGCGAACGGGUGAGUAACACGUGAGUAACCUGCCCUUGACUUUGGGAUAACUUCAGGAAACUGGGGCUAAUACCGGAUAGGAGCUCCUGCUACAUGGUGGGGGUUGGAAAGUUUCGGCGGUUGGGGAUGGACUCGCGGCUUAUCAGCUUGUUGGUGGGGUAGUGGCUUACCAAGGCUUUGACGGGUAGCCGGCCUGAGAGGGUGACCGGCCACAUUGGGACUGAGAUACGGCCCAGACUCCUACGGGAGGCAGCAGUGGGGAAUAUUGCACAAUGGGCGGAAGCCUGAUGCAGCAACGCCGCGUGCGGGAUGACGGCCUUCGGGUUGUAAACCGCUUUCGCCCGUGACGAAGCGUGAGUGACGGUAAUGGGUAAAGAAGCACCGGCUAACUACGUG